rnacentral:rRNA from 1 species
UCGCUCCUACCGAUUGAGUGAUCCGGUGAAUAGUUCGGACUGCAGCAAUGUUUGGAUCCCGAACGUUGUAGCGGAAAGUUUAGUGAACCUUAUCACUUAGAGGAAGGAG